rnacentral:tmRNA from 1 species
GGGGCCGACCGGUUUUGACAGGAUUCAUGAUGACGUAGAUAAGCAUGCGGGCUCAUGGGAUGAGAGCCCUGAAAGAUAGUCCCGAACCAUAACUGGCGAGUCUAACUACGCCAUGGCUGCUUAAUCUAACUGGGUGUUAGAUUCGAGCUUGCCCCGACAAAGUGUCGGGGGGCCAUCAUCGCUCAGCGCUCUCGUUCUGCCGGCGCUGGUUCAGCGAUGUCGACAGGCAGAAUUGCUCCGCGUGACGCUUGCUAAGCGCGGCUAAGACAUAGCAGCUAAGGUGGAUCUGAGGCCGUUGCCUGCCUUGGUUCACCCGACAAACAAAGGCAACUAAGCAUGUAGAAACUACGUGGUCAGCUUCUCUGGACGAGAGUUCGAUUCUCUCCGGCUCCACGG